CUGCUGCCUUCCGUAGGAGUUUGGGCCGUGUCUCAGUCCCAAUGUGGCCGUUCACCCUCUCAGGCCGGCUACUGAUCGCUGCCUUGGUAGGCCAUUACCCCACCAACUAGCUAAUCAGACGCGGAACCAUCGUAUACCACCAGAGUUUUUCACACCGCUUCAUGCGAAGCUGUGCGCUUAUGCGGUAUUAGCACCUAUUUCUAAGUGUUAUCCCCCAGUAUACGGCAGGUUUUCCACGCGUUACUCACCCGUCCG
rnacentral:rRNA from 1 species